AGUACUUCACCUUCACAUUUCAACUCCAUUUGGCUGUCUGGAGCCUUCUCGCUCCCGCAUGCAGGCGAUUUCGAGCUGCCAUCGCCGCCAAGCUCGACUGGGACAAACAGGAAACGGUGGUGCCACGCAUUCAAAACACAAUGAUUGUUGAGUUUUCUCUUCAUCAGAUCAAGGGUAUAUGGAACAUAUCUUAAGACUUGUGCUGAGACAGCUGAACAUUGGCUUGACAAAUGCAUGAGGGACCGAGGAGCGAGGAUGAUGCUACAAACACAUUACUGGGCAAGGUGCUUUUGCAAUUACUAACUAUAUGCUGCUCUGCACCAACAACUUGAAGGACUUUCUGUCAAAAGAAAAAAGAAAAACACCUUGAAGGACAAAUUGGUGUGUCAAUUAUCAGCAUGGCCAACUUCAGAGUAUCCUAGUUAACUUUGUUGCAUUUUGUAAUAUAUUAGCAACCAUUAACUUCUGUAUGUAGGUUAGGGUCUGAUGGUCCAACCUAGGCACGGCCAUAUGCCGAUAUCAUUCUUGUCCUUUGGGUGCAGGCUGCCAUGAAAUUCCUGAGUAUUAUUUGCUACAAAGGUGGACUAAAACAGCCACCCAUAAUGUUGUUUUUGAUGCAAAUGGGAAUAUAAUUGAAGGAUCAUGUACAUCCCUUCCACAAAACAUAAAGAGGUUGUGUUCUUAGACAUGGUCCAAGCUUAAAUCAGGAAUGCAGGCGGCCAAGCAAUGUGAGGAGAAAAUGGAAUAUUUUCACAACUAACGGAAAAAUUAAGAUUUCGGAGUUUGAAUCUUUUGUUGGAACACAGUUUCCAGUAGAAAUAAGUAUCCAUCCACCUGAAGUGUUGCGAGCGAAGGGAAACGAGAGGAGACUCAAGCGAGGUUCAGAGCAGUCAUCAACUAACCAAAGAGAGAAAAGAUCAAGAAGCACCAAGAAGGUUGGGGAGCAUUGAUGUGAAUUAUGUUUUGUAUCUUAUGACUAUGGAGCAAGGCACUUUUGCAGUCACUAAUGUGCUGCUCUGUACCGGGAAGUUGGAGGACAAUUUGGUGCAUCAAGUAUCAACAUGGACAACUAGAGAGGAUCCUGGAUUUGGUGUAUUUUGUAAUAAUAAGUUAGCGACAUAAACUUUUCUAGGUUAGUAAAUGAUGGUCCAACCUAGGCAUUGACAUAUGCCGACAUGUUGCACCUGUGUUAACCUCAAAUGUAAAUAUAUUCCAUUGAAAACUAUUGUAAGGCCCCGUUGGUUCCUCCUAAAAUUCUUAUCACAUCGAAUAUUUAUCACAUCGAA